UACAGAGGUCUCAAGCGUUGCUCGGAAUUACUGGGCGUAAAGGGCGCGUAGGCGGGAUGGCAAGUCGGUCGUGAAAUCCCUCGGCUCAACUGAGGAUCGUCGAUCGAUACUGCCGUUCUUGAGGAUUGCAGAGGAGACUGGAAUUCCCGGUGUAGCGGUGAAAUGUGUAGAGAUCGGGAGGAACACCGGUGGCGAAGGCGGGUCUCUGGGCAAUUCCUGACGCUGAGGCGCGAAAGCGUGGGGAGCAAACGGG
rnacentral:rRNA from 1 species